CUGAAAACAGCAUCUCUUUUGCAUCACUUCUACAGCAGCAGGAAGCCCGAGACAGAUUGUGGCUAAUAAAUAACUAUCAGGAAACUAAUAACUCUCUGGGAACAACAUGAGUAAAAUAACUGCAUUGUGUUUAGGUUUCAUUGUAAUGGCUUUUGUGCUACCCACUCAGGUACACAGUUCCACCAAUUCAUCGGAGGCAACGCAAAACUCAACUGUAGCAAAUACCAGUGGAUUUUCAUCUGUUACAACUUCCACGAACAUUAACGCUACUACAGCUCAUGGCCGAGCAGACUCCUUGCACGUCUCUUCAGCUCUGUUCCUCAGCAUUGCCUCAGCCUAUGUAUUACAUUUCUGGUGCUAGGAUACCAUCAUUCAAAUCCACCUAUAGCACCCUCCUCUUUUCUGCUCUUGUCUGUUAUACCAGGCCAGAUAAUCAUGCACAACAUGGAAGAGUAUACAGAUUUUCCCCUGCAAAUUUAAAAUUUCAUACCAACAAUUCACUGCUAGCACCACCUUUAUUGAGUGACUUUGCACUGACAAACUAAUGCUCUAGAAGCUGAAUGACGUGACAAGGCAAUCACCUACUACACACACAGGUGGAUGGUGGGCUCCAGUGUCAAGCCAACAAGUGUCACAUUUCGUAAAUGGACGUAGAUGAGACAUUAUCCCUCAGUGAAACCUAACCCAUAUGCCAAGGCAUAAAUUAUGAGCUAGAAGACAGAUGAGACAGCAUAACUGGGAGCCAUCAAGAAUCUUGAAGAAACAAAAGACUCAGAGACUGUUGUGGUCCUCUUAACCGAGUCAGAUAUAUAGAGAGCAAUGUUUAUAUGACAUGAGGUAUAAGUUGUAGAAAUACAUUUAUAAUCAAUAAUCUACAUAAAUAUAUUAGCUAAGUAAAACCAUGAUUUCUUUCUAAAAUUAACUUUCCAUUGGCAUUGAGUGUCUAAAAGUGACUUACUUCUGUUACUUAAUCAAAUGCAUGCAGCAUAUAACGUACACCAAGCAAACUGUAGGAAUCAGCUUGCAGAAGAAUUAACAAUGAGAUCAGGUGUUCUCUGUACAAUGCACACAUUCAUUCCCCUGUAUGAAAGGAGACCAAAUGUAUCCUGCAUUAUACAGCCAACUACAUGCGGAAGCGUAACCUAGUCAAUUUCUAAAUAAAUACACUUUUAGGCACUCAUACUGUAUGUACUUUACAGAGACCCCAGUAAAUUAUUGUGCAAACAUACAUUUUGUAAUCAUUUCAGUACAAUAGUUUGUUUAAUAUGAUUUACUAAGAUUUUGUUUUUUGCAGAUGACAAAAUUGUAAAUUAAGUACUUUGUUCAUGAAGUUGAUUGAAAAUAAAUUUCUUUGAAGAUGCACAUUUUGUAAAACUGCAUACAAAAUAAUGCAGUGUUAUUUCAUCUACCAUAUAAAGCAAACUAGACUUUUAUGUUACCUUAUGAUUUUUGUCAAUAACCACACAUGUUCCAUACAAUAUUAUAAAGCCCAACACCUCUUACCUGUUACCUUUUUAAGACUUUCAAAUCAUUCUUUUAAACAAUAAAACCACUUGUGAAUCGGAUUUUUUUUUUAACAAGAAUAGAUCCCCACACUAUCAGUAACACAUAAUAAUGUAUUAUGUAACAUCUGUGUCUCUGUGUCAGAUUGACACCUUAGAACAGGACUUAAUACACCAGUAACUGUAUAUGUUUACAUCACCUUUUUGUCACAGUGGGUUAUUUUGCUCUUACUGCUAAUUAGAGUGCCUUAAGCCCUUCACUGCCAGUGACAAUGGCAAUCCAUCGCUCCGCAGAGUGACAAUGAAGGUGCUUAAGAAUUGACAUGUAAGUGUAAUAUUGUAACCAAUAGGGUCAUUGGGUUUGAUUAUUUUGGGGUUCUGUUGAAAUGACUGUGUUACCAAAUGUGCCAGGAAAUAUGAAGCCUUGCAAUAAUGCAGAAAUAUUUUGUGUUUAAUUUAAACAAAUUAAAAAAUAAAUAUGAAAUAAUAAAAAUACGCUUUAAUAAAA